rnacentral:rRNA from 1 species
AACGAACGCUGGCGGCAGGCCUAACACAUGCAAGUCGAACGCCCCUUACGGGGAGUGGCAGACGGGUGAGUAACGCGUGGGAAUCUACCCAUCUCUACGGAAUAACUCAGGGAAACUUAUGCUAAUACCGUAUACGCCCUUCGGGGGAAAGAUUUAUCGGAGAUGGAUGAGCCCGCGUUGGAUUAGCUAGUUGGUGGGGUAAAGGCCUACCAAGGCGACGAUCCAUAGCUGGUCUGAGAGGAUGAUCAGCCACAUUGGGACUGAGACACGGCCCAAACUCCUACGGGAGGCAGCAGUGGGGAAUAUUGGACAAUGGGCGCAAGCCUGAUCCAGCCAUGCCGCGUGAGUGAUGAAGGCCCUAGGGUUGUAAAGCUCUUUCACCGAUGAAGAUAAUGACUGUAGUCGGAGAAGAAGCCCCGGCUAACUUCGUGCCAGCCGCCGCGGUAA